GACCCGGGGAGCUGGAAUUCGGCCGGCUGAGAGUGUAUCCCAAAGAUACUAACCCGUAUACCUGAUCUGGAUAAUGCCAGCGUAGGAACGAGAAAA
rnacentral:ncRNA from 1 species